UGAAAAGAACUUUGGAGAGAGAGUUCAAUAGACCGUGAAACCGUUGGGAGGGAAGCUCAGGGUGUCGAGGUUGUCGUGCUCUGUUUGGGUUCAACUGGUGGUAGUUGGGUUGCCAGCUGCUGCCGGUGCACUCUCAUGCAGAGUUGGACCGUCAGUUGGGAAGACAUCGGGACCUGCAAUGAUCGAUGGAUGGGAGGUAAGCUUUGUGGUUCCCUCGGGUGCCCAGAGUGACGUAUAGCCGUUCCGUCGUGGUUCUGAUUGUCUUUCAGGUGUGUUUGGAUGACUGAUCGUCCAAAAUUGGAAGGUGCAGUCUCCCUCUCAUGGGAGGUCGAGCCGUUCUUGAGGUUGCGCCUCAAUGUGGUCACGUGUUCCGUUCCCUCCCCACUAUACUUCGGUGUGUGGGGCUAGGGUGCGGCACGAGCUGCAUUGAGUGUGUCCCAUCAGGAUCGUGUUCCAAGUUC
rnacentral:rRNA from 1 species